GGUUGAAAUAGCUGCAUCUGAAAGGGAGCAGUUAUUGCUUAUGAAAAUUUCAGAGCUUGAAGCCAGGAUGAUUAAUCUAACUGAUGAGGUAGCUGAGGCAAGGUUGAAACAUCUGUAGUUGCAGCAGCAGCUAAAUGUUGCAUAUGGUCGGGAAGAAGAAGGAGCACAGGGGGG